UACGGAGGGUGCGAGCGUUGUCCGGAAUCACUAGGGCGUAAAGCGAGUGUAGGUGGUUGUCAUAGUCAGGCGUGAAAGCCUUGAGCUCAACUCAAGAAAUGCGCUUGAUACUGGGCAGCUAGAGGACCGGAGAGGAUAGUGGAAUUCCCAGUGUAGUGGUGAAAUACGUAGAGAUUGGGAAGAACACCAGUGGCGAAGGCGGCUAUCUGGACGGUUUCUGACACUAAGACUCGAAAGCGUGGGGAGCAAACAGG
rnacentral:rRNA from 1 species